rnacentral:rRNA from 1 species
ACUCCUACGGGAGGCAGCAGUGGGGAAUAUUGCACAAUGGGGGAAACCCUGAUGCAGCCAUGCCGCGUGUGUGAAGAAGGCCUUCGGGUUGUAAAGCACUUUCAGCAGUGAGGAAAGGGUGACAGUUAAUACCUGUUAUCUGUGACGUUAACUGCAGAAGAAGGACCGGCUAACUCCGUGCCAGCAGCCGCGGUAAUACGGAGGGUCCGAGCGUUAAUCGGAAUUACUGGGUUUAAAGGGUGCGUAGGCGGAUAACUAAGUCUAAGGUGAAAGUCUGUGGCUUAACUAUAGAAUUGCCUUGGAUACUGGUUAUCUUGAAUUGGGUUGAGGAUGGCGGAAUGUGACAUGUAGCGGUGAAAUGCAUAGAUAUGUCAUAGAACACCGAUUGCGAAGGCAGCCAUCUGGGCCUUGAUUGACGCUGAGGCACGAAAGCGUGGGGAGCGAACAGGAUUAGAUACCCUGGUAGGAUAGCGU